GGCAGGCAGGUAGGUGGGCAGGCAGGCAAGCUAGGCUAAGAAGUACAGAAGAGUUAGAAGUUCGGGCAAAGCUCCGGCUUGUCUGGGCACAGUUAACCCUCACUUCAGGGAAGCAGACAGAAACCAGGUGAGAGCAGACAAGCACUGAGCUUCCAUUAUGAGAAAAUAAGCUCAGCAGAGUGGGGUGCAGAGCCAGCUCAUUCUGUCUGAAAACGGAGAGGGAGAGGUGGCAGUCAACGUGGGAUGGGGCGCCCUGGUCGCUGCCUCUUUCUUGGUGAGGCAAACAGGAAGAAUCUGGCUAACGUGCUCUUCCUCUUAUCUGGGAGUUGAAUCAGAGUAAAAAGUGGACAGAAUUCCCAGGAAAGGGUGAUGCCCAAUCCCGAACUACCUUCCUGACCACAGACCCCAAGUGGCCAUCCCUACCCGUCUCCAAGUGCUGCUGCCAGUGUAUUUCUUUCAGCCUAUACAACGGAAAAGCCUUUUUUCUUGUAUUCAUAAUAGUGUUGCAUGUGUAGAGAGACAGAGAGAUGGAGAGACAGAGAAGAGCAUUCACAGCCUAGGCAGGCUCCGAUCGCCUUCCUCCAGUUCUCUAGCCUGUGAGCUCUCGGGCACUCGCACACGCCCCAUGUAUUCUGGCCGACCAGGUCAGUGGUUGAAGGUGGUCUCUGAGCAGGGUCUGGCUUCGUGUCAUCAGUGCAUUCUGCUGUGCCCUGGAGUCGGCUCCCUCGACAGUCCCCAUGCCGUCUCCCCCCCAGCCAGCCCCCAGUCGGGCAUGCACGCUGUGUCCAUCAGCCCAGGGAGUCUCUGGAUGUGACCCUGGAACUUUCUCACGUGGGUCUGCGGAGCAAUGAGCUACACGGCGCCACUGUCCGGUCCCUGCUCUGUUCCUAACAACAGCAUUCCACUUCAGAACGGUGGGCUCCGAUUUCUUUGAAAAUCCCUCCUCAGUUAGCAGGUACACUCACGGACACAGUACCCCAUCCCAUGGGUCCCUUCUUUUAGAGGCCCAGCUGGGCCCAACUUUCAUUACCGCAAUGCAGAUCGGCGCUCCUGAAUGCCAACCGUGGGAACAGUUAACAAGUUGUCUUUGAACCAACUCCACCCCCCUGGUCCAGACUCCUAGUGCAAAUCCUAACUGCAGGUACGAAUGUCCUUCUCUGUCCUCACAGAUUGUGAUGCUGAAAGGGAGCAAUCCAGAGCAGGCCAGGCGAGAGGAAGUUCCCUCUGAAGAAAGGGGUCACUGGGGCUGGGGGGGCCACAGACAUGGCCGCAGUGACCCGAUGGUCUGGCUUCCACAAGGAGCAUCUUUCAGCAUGGCUUGCUGAAAGUAAGCGAUGCUCCAUUGGGUGUGUAAGCACAGGCAGGCCAGGAGAUGGAGGCGGGUAAGCAGGCAUUCCCUGAGCUCCUUCUCCAGAAGUGGCCCUUACAUGGCGAGUGACUGUUGAGAGGAUAACGAGAAGCCGGCAGGGAGCGCAGGGUGGGGUAAGACGUGUGCAGAGGUGGCAGAAGGGGGCGGCUUUGGCUCGUGCUCUCCCACCAGCAGACGUCACAGUCCCUACACCACACAGCCCUCCGUGUGCCUCUGCCGCAGGCACCCAGGACACUCAACGGGGGCCUCUCUUCCCUCUAGCAAUGACCUCCUACCUCACUCCCUCUUGUUCCGUGUCCUGGGCUCCAGAUUACAGAUGCCCGACUCCAUUCACUCUGACUUUUUGGAACUCUUUGCCACUGAUCCGGCCACGUGGCAACUGCUUUCCCACUGUGGUCUGGUGUGUUAACUAAGAAAGUUAUUUUCCAGCCUAGUUAGAAACAGCGGGAGCUUGAAUUGACUUGUUAGACUGGCAGUGCUGGAAGAGUUAGGGCCACAUGCCAAAGAAAAGACCGGAUGGCCAAUCACGAAGGAGCACAUUUCUCAAUCUGCGGCCUGAGACCAAACCCCCUGCUGGCAAGGGAGACCGAUGCCAGGCCUUUGCUGCCAGACUCACGCUGGGAGAGGUAUGGACUUCAUGGUGGCUCCACAUGCAGCCGGAGCUCAGAAGUGGAAUCACGAACCACCCCGGUAUAAGGAGGCAGAAGAAGGGAGACCAGAUCCUGAAGACAGUAACCACAAGGAGACCAGAAAGUCCCAGACGUGGCAAAGGUUUAAUGUCAAGACAGCCUGGCUGUGUGAGUUACUACACAUCAGCUCUGAUUCUGUAUCUGAAGCCCCCCAGAUCACUUGCUCCCGAGCCAGGACACCGAGAUGCUAGAGCUCUGCUUUACGGAGACGGUGGGACCUUCUGAGGGCAGGAGGCAGGAAGCAGAGUGCUGCCGGAAGGCUGCUGGAACGAUGCUCUAGAAGUGCCUGCUGGAGUAAGGUCUCUACCUUUCCAGGCUGGUCCUUCUGGCCACCUUCUGUUAGAAAGCCAAGGUCUCCACAGAGACACAGAGGAGGAAAACAGGCAGCGGACUCCUCUGGAAGCACCAGCCACGCAGGGAGUCAUGUGUCUUAUCAGCGUGGCGAGCAGCCAGGAAGGAACGCCUCCAGCCAUUCCUGGACACAAAGCAUCUCAGCUCUGACUCUGGAGAACCGCUUAACUGCUCCAGGAGAUUCCCAGUCCAAUGAAGAGAAUUCUCUAGGUGAGGAAGUGAGAAUUCAACCUACUGACUGAACAAAGCCCAGAGUACCAUGGGUUGCCCUGCUUAGCCUCGUGUAAACAAAAAUGAUUCUACUACGGGUGCCAAAGCACCUCUCUUCCUGUGGCUUCCCAGGUUGGACCUACAGAGCUUGUGGUGGGGUGGCCGCGACUUCUCACCUGUGCCCAUGGCACCUGCUCCUGGCCACAUCUCGCGGAGUGGCACUUUCCUGAGCCAACAAGUGUGUCUCCUUCUUACCUGCCCCAUGCCCUUCACCUCAGUGCCACUGUCCUAACCACGCAACUCUCACCUCUUCCUCAGUCACAAGUGCCACCAUGCAAUCCAUUUCCCACAGAGCAGCCCAAGUGACUUCUUAUAGAUAAGAGCUUUAUUGACAUAUAAUUCACAUACCUUACAAUUCGAAGUGUUUUUUUUUAAUAUAUUCACAGGGUUAUGCAAACAUUAUCCCUAAUUUUGAAAUAGUUUCUUUUAUUAGCCCCAAGAUAAACCCCAUGCCCACUAGCAGUCACUGUCCCUUCCCCCGACUCUGCCACCUCAGCCCCUGGCACCUACUGGUCACCUACCAUCUACUCAUCGCUGUAACGGCCUGUUCUGGACAU